rnacentral:rRNA from 1 species
UCGGAGCGAACCGAAUUAAGAGCUUGCUCUUAAAGAAGUUAGCGGCGGACGGGUGAGUAACACGUAGGUAACCUGCCUAUAAGACUGGGAUAACUCCGGGAAACCGGGGCUAAUACCGGAUAACAUUUUGCACCGCAUGGUGCGAAAUUGAAAGGCGGCUUCGGCUGUCACUUAUAGAUGGACCUGCGGCGCAUUAGCUAGUUGGUGAGGUAACGGCUCACCAAGGCGACGAUGCGUAGCCGACCUGAGAGGGUGAUCGGCCACACUGGGACUGAGACACGGCCCAGACUCCUACGGGAGGCAGCAGUAGGGAAUCUUCCGCAAUGGACGAAAGUCUGACGGAGCAACGCCGCGUGAGCGAUGAAGGCCUUCGGGUCGUAAAGCUCUGUUGUUAGGGAAGAACAAGUGCUAGUUGAAUAAGCUGGCACCUUGACGGUACCUAACCAGAAAGCCACGGCUAACUACGUGCCAGCAGCCGCGGUAAUACGUAGGUGGCAAGCGUUAUCCGGAAUUAUUGGGCGUAAAGCGCGCGCAGGUGGUUUCUUAAGUCUGAUGUGAAAGCCCACGGCUCAACCGUGGAGGGUCAUUGGAAACUGGGAGACUUGAGUGCAGAAGAGGAAAGUGGAAUUCCAUGUGUAGCGGUGAAAUGCGUAGAGAUAUGGAGGAACACCAGUGGCGAACGGCGACUUUCUGGUCUGUAACUGACACUGAGGCGCGAAAGCGUGGGGAGCAAACAGGGAUUAGAUACCCUGGUUAGUUCCACGCCCGUAAACGAUGAGUGCUAAGUUGUUAGGAGGGUUUCCGCCCUUUAGUGCUGAAGUUAACGCCAUAAGCCACCUCCGCCUGGGGAGUACGCCGCAAAGCUGAUACUCAAGGAUUUGACGGGGGCCCGCACAAGCGG